CCCUUAGAUGUUCUGGGCCGCACGCGCGCUACACUGAUGCAUUCAACGAGUUCCUACCUUGGCCGAGAGGCCUGGGCAAUCUUUUGAACUUGCAUCGUGAUAGGGAUAGAUUAUUGCAAUUAUUAAUCUUGAACGAGGGAUUCCUAGUAAACGCAGAUCAUCAAUCUGCAUUGAUUACGUCCCUGCCCUUUGUACACACCGCCCGUCGCACCUACCGAUUGAAUGGUCCGGUGAAGCCUCGGGAUUGUGGUUAGUUUCCUUCAUUGGAAGUUAGCCGCGAGAACUUGUCUAAACCUUAUCAUUUAGAGGAAGGUGAAGUCGUAACA
rnacentral:rRNA from 1 species